GACGAACGCUGGCGGCGUGCUUAACACAUGCAAGUCGAGCGGUAAGGCCCUUUCGGGGGUACACGAGCGGCGAACGGGUGAGUAACACGUGGGUGACCUGCCCUUAGCUCUGGGAUAAGCCUGGGAAACUGGGUCUAAUACCGGAUAUGACUCCAUGACGCAUGUUGUGGGGUGGAAAGCCUUGUGCGGCUAGGGAUGGGCCUGCGGCCUAUCAGCUUGUUGGUGGGGUGAGGGCCUACCAAGGCGACGACGGGUAGCCGGCCUGAGAGGGCGACCGGCCGCACUGGGACUGAGACACGGCCCAGACUCCUACGGGAGGCAGCAGUGGGGAAUCUUGCGCAAUGGGCGAAAGCCUGACGCAGCGACGCCGCGUGGGGAUGACGGCCU
rnacentral:rRNA from 1 species